UACGAAGGGGGCUAGCGUUGUUCGGAAUCACUGGGCGUAAAGCGCACGUAGGCGGCUUGUUAAGUCAGGGGUGAAAUCCUGGAGCUCAACUCCAGAACUGCCUUUGAUACUGGCGAUCUCGAGUCCGGGAGAGGUGAGUGGAACUGCGAGUGUAGAGGUGAAAUUCGUAGAUAUUCGCAAGAACACCAGUGGCGAAGGCGGCUCACUGGCCCGGUACUGACGCUGAGGUGCGAAAGCGUGGGGAGCAAACAGG
rnacentral:rRNA from 1 species